rnacentral:rRNA from 1 species
GGAUAAGCUCGGGAAACUGAGUAUAAUACUUGAUAAUGAAUUAGAUCUGGAAUGUCUAAUUCACCAAAGUUUUAACGUAUAAGGAUGAGUUGGCGGCUGAUUAGGUAGUUGGUGGGGUAAUGGCCCACCAAGCCAACGAUCAGUAGGGGCCAUGAGAGUGGGAGCCCCGAGAGGGUCACUGAGAAACUGGACCCAGCCCUACGGGGUGCAGCAGGCGCGAAACCUCUUCAAUGCACGACAGUGUGAAAGGGGGAUCCUACGUGCUUACGUUCAGCGUAGGCUUUUAUGAAGUGUAAAUAGCUUUAUGAAUAAGGGGUGGGAAAGACCGGUGCCAGCAGCCGCGGUAACACCGGCGCCUCAAGUGGCAAUCAGUAUUAUUGGGCCUAAAGCAUCCGUAGCCGGAUUUGUAAAUCUUUUGUGAAAUCUCUCCGCUUAACUGAGAGGCGUGCAGGAGACACUGCAAAUCUAGAGACCGGGAGGAGUUAGAAGUACUCUAGGGGGAGCGGUAAAAUGUUAUAAUCCCUGGAAGACUACCGAUGGCGAAGGCAUCUAACUAGAACGGAUCUGACGGUGAGGGAUGAAGGCUAGGGGAGCAAAACGGAUUAGAUACCCGAGUAGUCCUAGCUGUAAACGCUGUAUGCAAGGUGUUGCGUAUUCUUGUGAAUGCGCAGUAUCGAAGAGAAGUCGUUAAGCAUACCGCCUGGGAAGUACGGUCGCAAGACUGAAACUUAAAGGAAU